rnacentral:sRNA from 1 species
CAGAGAGAGAGAGAGACGAAGAAGAAGAAGAAGAAACAAAA